rnacentral:rRNA from 1 species
ACGUGCCUACGGGGGGCAGCAGUGGGGAAUAUUGGGCAAUGGGCGCAAGCCUGACCCAGCAAAGCCGCGUGAAGGAAGAAGGCAUUCGGGUUGUAAAAUUCUUUUAAGAGGGAAGAGCAGAAGACGGUACCUCUUGAAUAAGCCACGGCUAACUACGUGCCAGCAGCCGCGGUAAUACGUAGGUGGCAAGCGUUGUCCGGAUUUACUGGGUGUAAAGGGCGUGUAGCCGGGCUGACAAGUCGGAUGUGAAAUUCCGGGGCUCAA